rnacentral:rRNA from 1 species
GGGAUUGCCCCAGUAACGGCGAGUGAAGCGGCAGGAGCUCAAAUUUGAAAUCUGGGGUCCACGACCUCCGAGUUGUAAUUUGGAGAGGCAUCUUCGGGGGGGAGCGCCGGCCCAUGUUCCUUGGAACAGGACGUCGCAGAGGGUGAGAAUCCCGUGCCAGGCCGGCUCCCUCCUCCCGCGUGAAGGGCCUUCGACGAGUCGAGUUGUUUGGGAAUGCAGCUCCAAGCGGGUGGUAAGUUUCAUCUAAAGCUAAAUACCGGCGGGAGACCGAUAGCGCACAAGUAGAGUGAUCGAAAGAUGAAAAGCACUUUGAAAAUAGAGUCAAAAAGUACGUGAAAUUGUUGAAAGGGAAGCGCUUGAGACCAGACUCAGGCCCGGGCAAACACCGCGCCCCCCGGGGCCGUGCAAUUGCCUGGGGCUGGGCCAGCAUCAGUCGGCGUGGCGGGACAAAGGCGCGGGGAAUGUGGCUCCCCUCGGGGAGUGUUAUCAGCCCCGCGCUCAAUGCCGCCGACGUCGACUGAGGACCGCGCCUCGGCUAGGAUGCUGGCUUAAUGGCCUUCAGCGACCCGUCUUGAAACACGGACCAAGGAGUCUAACAUCUAUGCGAGUGUUUGGGCGCCAAACCCUUGCGCGGAAUGAAAGUGAACGGAGGUGGGAACCCCCCAGCGGGGCGCACCAUCGACCGAUCCUGAUGUCU